rnacentral:rRNA from 1 species
CCUACGGGAGGCAGCAGUCGAGAAUCAUUCACAAUGGGGGAAACCCUGAUGGUGCGACGCCGCGUGGGGGAAUGAAGGUCUUCGGAUUGUAAACCCCUGUCAUGUGGGAGCAAAUUAAAAAGAUAGUACCACAAGAGGAAGAGACGGCUAACUCUGUGCCAGCAGCCGCGGUAAUACAGAGGUCUCAAGCGUUGUUCGGAAUCACUGGGCGUAAAGCGUGCGUAGGCUGUUUCGUAAGUCGUGUGUGAAAGGCGCGGGCUCAACCCGCGGACGGCACAUGAUACUGCGAGACUAGAGUAAGGGAGGGGGAACCGGAAUUCUCGGUGUAGCAGUGAAAUGCGUAGAUAUCGAGAGGAACACUCGUGGCGAAGGCGAGUUCCUGGACAUUAACUGACGCUGAGGCACGAAGGCCAGGGGAGCGAAAGGGAUUAGAUACCCCUGUAGUC